UACGUAGGGUGCAAGCGUUAAUCGGAAUUACUGGGCGUAAAGCGUGCGCAGGCGGCUUUGCAAGACAGAUGUGAAAUCCCCGGGCUUAACCUGGGAACUGCAUUUGUGACUGCAUGGCUGGAGUGCGGCAGAGGGGGGUGGAAUUCCACGUGUAGCAGUGAAAUGCGUAGAGAUGUGGAGGAACACCGAUGGCGAAGGCAGCCCCCUGGGCCAAUACUGACGCUCAUGCACGAAAGCGUGGGGAGCAAACAGG
rnacentral:rRNA from 1 species